AUUGGCCAAGUCCCGCCUGCCCCUGUCCGGACGCGCGGCGGACGCAGGGGUGGGGAAGCCGCACCCUCCGGGCUCCAGGAGGGCCAAUGAACCGACGAUCGGAGCACUGGGGACGGAAUGAAGAGAACGUCUGGAAAGGGACUGUGGGGGCAGACGUGCCAAUGAGAGAGAAAGGGGUGGGGUAGGGCGGCUGACGCCCGGUUUAGGCGGAGAGCGCCGGGCAGAGGGGGAGGGGGACGAAGCUGGUGGCGAAGCGGCUCAGGAGAACCGGGGCUGGAGGAGCGGCAAGAGUACCCAGAAAGUGCCCUCUCCGCGGGGGUCUGCGGCCAAGGAGGAUCCUGCUCGUGGAAUAGCUACCAAAUCGGCCUCCAGCCCACCCCAGGGGCGGGGUAGAGAAAGGGCAAACUGUGACCGGGACUUGUGCACCCGAUUAAUUGAAUAUUAAUCACCCCAAGGCCUAGGCCAACCGCCACCCAGAGAGUGGCAGCUGCAGAACCCAAAGACGUGGAGCCGGGCUGGGGGUGGGGAAGGGAGGCCGCCACAGCUCCCGCCCCGCCGGCAGUUUAACUGCUUCCGCAGCCUCAGGCCUCCCGGUGCGACCCCGGCUGCGACUCGGAUCCGUUUAUUCCAAAUGUCCCAGCCCACGCCGUGCCCAGAGUGUGGCGACACGAGGCCAAACUGCCAACGACGCCUGAUUGGCUGCGCUGGUCCCUUCGCAACGAGGCGAUUGGCUGCCUGGUAUCCAGGAGACCGACGUCAAACUCGGACUGGGAAAAGGGGAAAGUCUGGGGGGAGCGAAGGAGGGGACGGGGAGAAAGAAGCAAUGAAUGAAACGCCCAUCGCCUGGCCUUCCCCUUUCCCCUUUCCCCUCUCCUCUCCAUUCUUGGAGCACUUCCUGGAAAAACACCAGUUGGGGCGCCGCCUUCCCCUCCAAACGUUGGGGCCUGCACUCUCAACCUGCUAUAAGGAAGUUAAACCGCAGCUCACCGAGGAGUAGGGUGUCUACGGGGCGGGCCCGUGUAGACCAGCUGUGCUCCUCGGGCACAAACCCGCCGUACAUGCCAGGCCUAGAAGCUUUUGGCUUUGUGGACGCAAAAUCUGGUUGGAGCCGCCUUCUCCACCCUGACUCUCCCGCCUCUCCUUUUUAGAAGGAACCGCACUGAGAAAGGGUAUUUCUGAAGGCUCAAUGCGUAGGAGAAGGGGUGGGAAGAUGGGUUUGUGGAAUGGGCUGAGGGUGGGGAGUGGUCAGGUGACUGAUUUCAUGUUUAUUGUACAGAUUCCUAAAACAUAGUUUUACUAAGUGACUCCUUAAAUUCUGAUUAAUGUGAUUUUUUUUUUUUUUUGAGUGUUUGGGUUUUUUAGUUGCAAACAGGAGUGGAAUUGAAAUGUGAAAGUAUGGCAAAACUGUGAAAGCAUUUAAAUUAAAAUGUCCCUUCCUCUGCAUUGAAAUGUCAUCAAAGCGUCAAAUAUAAAUGAUUUGUUCAGUUUUCUUUUUUUAUUUGUUUGUUUUUGGUUUUCUGUAAUGACAAGUCCAUCUGUAAUAAAAGUGAGUUAUUUUUAGUUUUCUAAUUAAGCACAGAAAUUUCAAGAAACUAGACAGGAUAUCCUUGGAAUGCCUUACCAAAAGAAACACUUCAUUUUUCACGUGUUCUAGAAGCACAACUUCUUUUACCAUUAGGCAAAUAAUGGUACUGUACCAAACAUCUAGAACUGCGGGACCAUGUGUCUUGAUUAGUAAUUUUAUAUUGGGGGGGCAUAUUAGGCAUGGCUGAGACUAAAAUGUCUAAAGAUAGAUGAAUUGUAAUUUUGUCAAACUUAUCUGUACUUUUCAAUAAUUCUCUAAAGAGAAGGGACAAGUUCUCUUUUCUGAAUGUCUUCAAUCUGUAAUUCCAGAUUUGAAAUAUGAGAGCAGUCAUCUGAUAGGUACUGAUUAAAUAUCAGUAGCAUUAAAAGCAUUUUUAAGUCAGAAAUGUAGAUGUCAAAAAUUUAUGAGUUAUUGCUGCUUGGCCUAGGAGUGUAAGAAGAUGUCUGACCAAAUAUAAACACACACACACACACCACACAAACAACACACACGGAGGCCCCAUGGCAUACUGGAAAAAGCAAUGAAGGGUGGGUACUGGGAGGUCUGAGUUUCACACCAGUUUCAAUAAACUUUUAGUUUUCUCACCUAUAAAAAGGGUUGAAUUAGAUCAUAUCUAAUGUCUCCUUCAAUUAAAAAAAAAUUCCACACUUGGCUGGGAGCAGUGGCUUACGCCUGUAAUCCCAGCACUUUGGGAGGCUGAGGCAGGCAGAUUACCUGAGCUCAGGAAUUUGAGACCAGCCUGGCCAACACGGUGAAACCCCGUCUCUACUGAAAAUACAAAAAUUAGCCGGGUGUAGUGGCACACGCCUGUAAUCCCAGCUACUUGGGAGGCUGAGGCAGGAGAAUUGCUUGAGCCUGGGAGAUGGAGGUUGCAGUGCGCCGCGAUCGUGCCACUGCACUCCUGCUGGCCGACAGAGCGAGACUCUCUCUCAAAAAAAUAAAUAAAUAAAAUAUUCCGCCCUUAAAACUCAAUGUUCCUAACAUAUAUACUGCAGCUGUUCUUCAAAUACAGAUUGCAAGUCAGGGCGCGGUGGCUCUCGCCUGUAAUCCCAGUACUUUGGGAGGCCAAGGUGGGUGGAUCAUCUGAGGUCGGGAGCUCGAGAUCAGCUUGACCAACAUGGAGAAACCCUGUCUCUACUAAAAAUACAAAAUUAGCCUGGCAUGGUGGCGCAUGCCUGUAAUCCCAGCUACUCGGGAGGCUGAGGCAGGAGAAUCACUUGAACCCG
rnacentral:lncRNA from 10 species